ensembl:lncRNA
GGAGUACAGAGAAACUGACUCUGAGGAUGGAGAGAACCAUCAAAACGUAAUUGAAAUUGAUGACGGUGAUGCAGACAGAAAUGACGAUAUCAUUGCGUCAGACUGCGUUGCAGCUCUUGAAUGUGCACCUGUCUCAAGCAAUGACAUAGAUUACAGUGACAUGGCAGAAGACAUGGACAGCAUGCCAUCUUCACCAUCUGUGACCACCCCUUUUGUGACUGUAACUCUUGCCCCAAAUGAAGCCUCAAACUCUAGUGAUGCCCAUGUAACUCCCCUUGAACAAUCAGACUCUGAACCACCAAGUCCCCAAGAAGACAGCGACGAUGAGUAUACUCCCCC